rnacentral:rRNA from 1 species
AUGCAGUCGACGAUGAACCACUUCGGUGGGGAUUAGUGGCGAACGGGUGAGUAACACGUGGGUAAUCUGCCCUUCACUCUGGGACAAGCCCUGGAAACGGGGUCUAAUACCGGAUAUCACUGCCAUGGGCAUCUGUGGUGGUUGAAAGCUCCGGCGGUGAAGGAUGAGCCCGCGGCCUAUCAGCUUGUUGGUGAGGUAACGGCUCACCAAGGCGACGACGGGUAGCCGGCCUGAGAGGGCGACCGGCCACACUGGGACUGAGACACGGCCCAGACUCCUACGGGAGGCAGCAGUGGGGAAUAUUGCACAAUGGGCGCAAGCCUGAUGCAGCGACGCCGCGUGAGGGAUGACGGCCUUCGGGUUGUAAACCUCUUUCAGCAGGGAAGAAGCGAAAGUGACGGUACCUGCAGAAGAAGCGCCGGCUAACUACGUGCCAGCAGCCGCGGUAAUACGUAGGGCGCAAGCGUUGUCCGGAAUUAUUGGGCGUAAAGAGCUCGUAGGCGGCUUGUCACGUCGGGUGUGAAAGCCCGGGGCUUAACCCCGGGUCUGCAUUCGAUACGGGCAGGCUAGAGUGUGGUAGGGGAGAUCGGAAUUCCUGGGUGUAGCGGUGAAAUGCGCAGAUAUCACGAGGAACACCGGUGGCGAAGGCGGAUCUCUGGGCCAUUACUGACGCUGAGGAGCGAAAGCGUGGGGAGCGAACAGGAUUAGAUACCCUGGUAGUCCACGCCGUAAACGGUGGGAACUAGGUGUUGGCGACAUUCCACGUCGUCGKGCCGCAGCUAACGCAUUAAGUUCCCCGCCUGGGGGAGUACGGCCGCAGGCUAAACUCAAGGAAUGACGGGGCCCGCACAGCAGCGAGCAUGUGCUAUCGACGCACGCGAGACUUACAGCUUGACA